rnacentral:rRNA from 1 species
GACGAACCGUGCGAACGUUGUUCGGAAUUACUGGGCGUAAAGGGCGCGUAGGCGGCACGGCAAGUCAGGAGUGAAAGCCCGGGGCUCAACCCCGGAAUGUCUUUUGAAACUGCCGAGCUAGAGUGCGGAAGAGGCAACUGGAAUUCCCAGUGUAGCGGUGAAAUGCGUAGAUAUUGGGAAGAACACCUGAGGCGAAGGCGGGUUGCUGGGCCGACACUGACGCUGAGGCGCGAAAGCCAGGGGAGCGGAACGGG